rnacentral:rRNA from 1 species
GUCGAACGGGUGUAGCAAUACAUCCGUGGCGAACGGGUGCGUAACACGUGGAUAACCUUCCUUCAGGUGGGGAAUAACCCAGUGAAAAUUGGGCUAAUACCGCAUAACAAGACGAGGGCUCAUGCUCUUGCCUUCAAAGGCGCAAGUCGCCAGAAGAGGGAUCCGCGGCCGAUUAGCUAGUUGGCGAGGUAACGGCUCACCAAGGCAAUGAUCGGUAGCCGGAUUGAGAGGUUGGCCGGCCACACUGGAACUGAGACACGGUCCAGACUCCUACGGGAGGCAGCAGUGGGGAAUCUUGCACAAUGGGCGAAAGCCUGAUGCAGCAACGCCGCGUGGGGGAUGAAGCUUCUCGGAGUGUAAACCCCUUUCGACCCGGAAGAAUGCCCGCAAGGGCUUGACGGUACGGGUAUAAGAAGCCCCGGCUAACUACGUGCCAGCAGCCGCGGUAAUACGUAGGGGGCCAGCGUUGCUCGGAAUUACUGGGCGUAAAGGGUCCGUAGGCGGUGUGGCAAGUCGGGAGUGAAAUCUCUGGGCUUAACCCAGAGGCUGCUUCCGAAACUGCCGUGCUAGAGUGUGAGAGAGGCGAGUGGAAUUGCGGGUGUAGCGGUGAAAUGCGUAGAUAUCCGCAGGAACAUCCGAGGCGAAAGCGGCUCGCUGGAUCACAACUGACGCUGAGGGACGAAAGCUAGGGGAGCA